rnacentral:misc_RNA from 1 species
UACGGAGGGUGCAAGCGUUGUUCGGAUUUACUGGGCGUAAAGCGCACGUAGGCGGAACGUUAAGUCAGAGGUGAAAUCCUGGAGCUCAACUCCAGAACUGCCUUUGAUACUGGAUAUCUGGAGUCCGAGAGAGGUGAGUGGAACUCCUAGUGUAGAGGUGGAAUUCGUAGAUAUUAGGAAGAACACCAGUGGCGAAGGCGGCUCACUGGCUCGGUACUGACGCUGAGGUGCGAAAGCGUGGGGAGCAAACAGG